rnacentral:rRNA from 1 species
AUUGAACGCUGGCGGCAUGCUUUACACAUGCAAGUCGAACGGUAACAGGCCGCAAGGUGCUGACGAGUGGCGAACGGGUGAGUAAUGCAUCGGAACGUGCCCAGUCGUGGGGGAUAACUACUCGAAAGAGUAGCUAAUACCGCAUACGAUCUAUGGAUGAAAGCGGGGGACCGUAAGGCCUCGCGCGAUUGGAGCGGCCGAUGUCAGAUUAGGUAGUUGGUGGGGUAAAGGCUCACCAAGCCAACGAUCUGUAGCUGGUCUGAGAGGACAACCAGCCACACUGGGACUGAGACACGGCCCAGACUCCUACAGGAGGCAGCAGUGGGGAAUUUUGGACAAUGGGCGCAAGCCUGAUCCAGCAAUGCCGCGUGCAGGAAGAAGGCCUUCGGGUUGUAAACUGCUUUUGUACGGAACGAAACGGCUCUGGUUAAUACCCGGGGCUAAUGACGGUACCGUAAGAAUAAGCACCGGCUAACUACGUG